GUGCAGCAGUCGAGAAUUUUUCUCAAUGGGGGCAACCCUGAAGGAGCGACGCCGCGUGGAGGAUGAAGGCUUUCGGGUUGUAAACUCCUGUCAUUUGGGGAACAAGUUGGACGCAGUAACUACGCGUCCAUUGAUAGUACCAGAAGAGGAAGGGACAGCUAACUCUGUGCCAGCAGCCGCGGUAAUACAGAGGUCCCAAGCGUUGUUCGGAUUCAUUGGGCGUAAAGGGUGCGUAGGUGGCGCCGUAAGUGGGGUGUGAAAUUUCGGAGCUUAACUCCGAAACUGCAUUCCAUGCUGCGGUGCUUGAGGACUGGAGAGGAGACUGGAAUUCAUGGUGUAGCAGUGAAAUGCGUAGAGAUCAUGAGGAAGACCAGUGGCGAAGGCGGGUCUCUGGACAGUUCCUGACACUGAGGCACGAAGGCCAGGGGAGCAAACGGGAUUAGAUACCUCUGUAGU
rnacentral:rRNA from 1 species